rnacentral:rRNA from 1 species
GCUUGAGCACGUAGGUGGGUUUGUAAGUCAGGUGUGAAAGCCUUCUGUUCAACGGGAGAAUUGCAUCUGAAACUACGAAUCUUGAGUGUAGGAGGGGAGAAUGGAACUUCUGGUGGAGCGGUGAAAUGCGUAGAUAUCAGAAGGAACGCCGGCGGCGAAAGCGAUUCUCUGGCCUAUUACUGACACUCAGUGUGCGAAAGCUAGGGGAGCAAACGGGAUUAGAUACCCCGGUAGUCCUAGCCGUAAACGAUGGGCACUAAGUAGAGGGGAUUACCGACGUUCUCUCUGCCGUAGCUAACGCAUUAAGUGCCCCGCCUGGGGAGUACGGCCGCAAGGCUAAAACUCAAAAGAAUUGACGGGGGCUCGCACAAGCGGUGGAGCAUGUGGCUUAAUUCGAUGCAACGCGAAGAACCUUACCGGGGCUUGACAUGGUAGAAGUAGGAACCCGAAAGGGUAACGAACGGUAUCCAGUCCGUGACUAUCACAGGUGUUGCAUGGCUGUCGUCAGCUCGUGUCGUGAGACGUUGGGUUAGGUCCCCUAACGAGCGAAACCCUUGUUUUUAGUUACCAGCGGGUUAUGCCGGGUACUCUAGAAAGACUGCCGUCGUCAAGACGGAGGAAGGUGGGGAUGACGUCAAGUCAUCAUGGCCCUUAUGCCCCGGGCUGCACACGUGCUACAAUGGUCGGUACAAACGGAAGCGAAGCCGAGAGGUGAAGCGAAUCCAAGC